rnacentral:rRNA from 1 species
UGGGGAAUAUUGCACAAUGGGCGCAAGCCUGAUGCAGCCAUGCCGCGUGUAUGAAGAAGGCCUUCGGGUUGUAAAGUACUUUCAGUCGGGAGGAAGGUGGUAAGGUUAAUAACCUUAUCAAUUGACGUUACCGACAGAAGAAGCACCGGCUAACUCCGUGCCAGCAGCCGCGGUAAUACGGAGGGUGCAAGCGUUAAUCGGAAUUACUGGGCGUAAAGCGCACGCAGGCGGUUGAUUGAGUCAGAUGUGAAAUCCCCGGGCUUAACCCGGGAAUUGCAUCUGAUACUGGGCAGCUAGAGUCUUGUAGAGGGGGGUAGAAUUCCAUGUGUAGCGGUGAAAUGCGUAGAGAUGUGGAGGAAUACCGGUGGCGAAGGCGGCCACCUGGACAAAGACUGACGCUCAGGUGCGAACGCGUGGGGAGCAAACAGG